rnacentral:rRNA from 1 species
CGAUGAUAGCUUGCUAUCAGGCGUCGAGCGGCGGACGGGUGAGUAAUACUUAGGAAUCUACCUAGUAGUGGGGGAUAGCACGGGGAAACUCGUAUUAAUACCGCAUACGACCUACGGGAGAAAGGGGGCAGUUUACUGCUCUCGCUAUUAGAUGAGCCUAAGUCGGAUUAGCUAGAUGGUGGGGUAAAGGCCUACCAUGGCGACGAUCUGUAGCUGGUCUGAGAGGAUGAUCAGCCACACCGGGACUGAGACACGGCCCGGACUCCUACGGGAGGCAGCAGUGGGGAAUAUUGGACAAUGGGGGAAACCCUGAUCCAGCCAUGCCGCGUGUGUGAAGAAGGCCUUUUGGUUGUAAAGCACUUUAAGCAGUGAAGAAGACUCCGUGGUUAAUACCCACGGACGAUGACAUUAGCUGCAGAAUAAGCACCGGCUAACUCUGUGCCAGCAGCCGCGGUAAUACAGAGGGUGCAAGCGUUAAUCGGAAUUACUGGGCGUAAAGGGAGCGUAGGUGGCUCUAUAAGUCAGAUGUGAAAUCCCCGGGCUUAACCUGGGAACUGCAUCUGAAACUGUAGAGCUAGAGUAUGUGAGAGGGAGGUAGAAUUUCAGGUGUAGCGGUGAAAUGCGUAGAGAUCUGAAGGAAUACCGAUGGCGAAGGCAGCCUCCUGGCAUAAUACUGACACUGAGGCUCGAAAGCGUGGGUAGCAAACAGGAUUAGAUACCCUGGUAGUCCACGCCGUAAACGAUGUCUACUAGUCGUUGGGUCCCUUGAGGACUUAGUGACGCAGCUAACGCAAUAAGUAGACCGCCUGGG